CAUAUAAAUAGCUUAAGUUGGUUAAUUAAAGCAUUGAGUUUUUACCUCAAAGAUGACGUAAAGUCUUUUAUGA
rnacentral:tRNA from 1 species